GAUGAAGAACGCAGCGAAAUGCGAUAAGUAGUGUGAAUUGCAGAAUUCAGUGAAUCAUCGAAUCUUUGAACGCACAUUGCGCCCCUUGGUAUUCCAUGGGGCAUGCCUGUUCGAGCGUCAUUUGUACCUUCAAGCUCUGCUUGGUGUUGGGUGUUUGUCUCGCCUCUGCGUGUAGACUCGCCUCAAAACAAUUGGCAGCCGGCGUAUUGAUUUCGGAGCGCAGUACAUCUCGCGCUUUGCACUCAUAACGACGACGUCCAAAAGUACAUUUUUACACUCUUGACCUCGGAUCAGGUAGGGAUACCCGCUGAACUUAAGCAUAUAAUAAGCGGAGGA
rnacentral:misc_RNA from 1 species